CUCCAGCAGAUCCUCAGUCAGGCCAAGAAGCAUCUGAGCUUGAUCCCUUCUUUGUAUUUAUUGGAUUUAGAGGUAUUAGAAAAGCAUUGUAUGUCUUAAGUCUGGCAUUGUUCAAUCCGGAUGUUAGGACAGAAAGAAUAACCCAGAGCCCUGUAACAAACUGGGUCCCAACAAUCCAUCCAAGUUUUACUCAGUGAAUGUGGAUUAUAGCAAACUGAAGAAAGAAGGUCCAGAU
rnacentral:lncRNA from 1 species